rnacentral:rRNA from 1 species
AGCUUGUUGGUGAGGUAAAAGCUCACCAAGGCGACGAUCUGUAGCGGGUCUGAGAGGAUGAUCCGCCACACUGGAACUGAGACACGGUCCAGACUCCUACGGGAGGCAGCAGUGGGGAAUUUUGGACAAUGGGGGCAACCCUGAUCCAGCCAUGCCGCGUGAGUGAAGAAGGCCUUCGGGUUGUAAAGCUCUUUCAGCCGGGAAGAAAACGCAUGGGUUAAUACCCUGUGUGGAUGACGGUACCGGAAUAAGAAGCACCGGCUAACUACGUGCCAGCAGCCGCGGUAAUACGUAGGGUGCGAGCGUUAAUCGGAAUUACUGGGCGUAAAGCGUGCGCAGGCGGUUUUGUAAGACAGGCGUGAAAUCCCCGGGCUUAACCUGGGAACUGCGUUUGUGACUGCAAGGCUAGAGUACGGCAGAGGGGGGUGGAAUUCCACGUGUAGCAGUGAAAUGCGUAGAGAUGUGGAGGAACACCAAUGGCGAAGGCAGCCCCCUGGGUCGAUACUGACGCUCAUGCACGAAAGCGUGGGUAGCAAACAGGAUUAGAUACCCUGGUAGUCCACGCCCUAAACGAUGUCAACUAGGUGUUGGGAGGGUAAAACCUUUUAGUACCGGAGCUAACGCGUGAAGUUGACCGCCUGGGGAGUACGGCCGCAAGGUUAAAACUCAAAGGAAUUGACGGGGACCCGCACAAGCGGUGGAUGAUGUGGAUUAAUUCGAUGCAACGCGAAAAACCUUACCUACCCUUGACAUGCCAAGAACUUUCCAGAGAUGGAUUGGUGCCCGAAAGGGAACUUGGACACAGGUGCUGCAUGGCUGUCGUCAGCUCGUGUCGUGAGAUGUUGGGUUAAGUCCCGCAACGAGCGCAACCCUUGUCGUUAAUUGCCAUCAUUUAGUUGGGCACUUUAACGAGACUGCCGGUGACAAACCGGAGGAAGGUGGGGAUGACGUCAAGUCCUCAUGGCCCUUAUGGGUAGGGCUUCACACGUCAUACAAUGGUCGGUACAAAGGGUCGCCAAGCCGCGAGGUGGAGCCAAUCCCAGAAAGCCGAUCGUAGUCCGGAUCGCAGUCUGCAACUCGACUGCGUGAAGUCGGAAUCGCUAGUAAUCGUGGAUCAGAAUGUCACGGUGAAUACGUUCCCGGGUCUUGUACACACCGCCCGUCACACCAUGGGAGCGGGUUCCGCCAGAAGUAGGUAGCCUAACCGCAAGGAGGGCGCUUACCACGGCGGGGUUCGUGACUGGGGUGAAGUCGUAACAAGGUAGCUGUAGGGGAACCUGCGGCUG